GAUUGCUAUGACGACUCCAUAAAUUUCAAGCUCAACAGACCAGAUCACAGGUCUCUCUCUCGAGGGAUUUGUAUGUCGAUACCCCGCUGAACCGAGCAAUC
rnacentral:snoRNA from 1 species